rnacentral:tRNA from 1 species
GCCUCCAUAGCUCAACUGGCAGAGCAACUCCCUUUUAAGGAGGAGGUUCCAGGUUCGAGACCUGGUGGAGGCA